ACCUCACAACAACUAAUAAUUUUUAUUUUUGUAUUUAGAAAAUAAUAUCCGCAAUUAAGCUAUGCAACUAAUAAAGGCUAAAUCCUAACACAAUUGGAAGUAGGAUCAACGCACUUAUUUAAGGGAGCACAAUCGAGUUUGGGAACGUAAUUUAACUUCUCCAAUCUCCAAUUCUACAUACUUGCUUAUAUAUUUUGUCUGGAACAAGAACAACCGCUUAAAUCAAAAGCUCCCCUCCUCCUUUGCCAAUUGACCCGCACGAAACAGUUGGCUGACAUGGAGAUGAACAACCAAGCUCCCAAAUCUCAUCGCAUGAAAAAGGAUUUUUAUAUAAUAGAUGAUCUCCUGCUGCAAAUUUUGUUCCGACUACCGUGCUCAGAAUCAGUUAUCAGGUGUAAGUGUGUCUGCAAGCAGUGGUGUAAGGUAAUAUCUGAACCGGGAUUUGAUGCUAAAUUUAUUGCUCAUAAAAUCAAUAACAGUCACUUGUCUACAUCGAAAAAUGAAGAACAACUUCCCUCUAUAUUUGGGCUUCGGCGAUACGAUAAAAAAAGCCUUUUAUUUAUCCCACCCAUCCACCCUUUACAAAUCUAGACUUUUCCCUAAGUUUUAUUCCAACUUAUGAACAAGGACCUAAAUACCGUAUCAUUGUGAAAGCACAGUGUAGUGAUCUGGUUGUAUGCAUCAGUCCCUCACCAAAAGAUCUUUAUCUGUAUGUUUGCAAUCCUCGCACCAAGCAAUAUUUUCAACUGCCUCUACCAUCUCAAACACAUAAAAAGGAUCAAGAUCAACAACGGAUAGACUAGAAAUCGAAAUCUUCUCAUCUGAAAACAGAGUUUGGAGGAAAGCAAUCUUAUUGACACCACAGUAUUUUGAUUAUAAUUAUGCUACGUUAAAAAAAUGCUUUACCUACAAGGAGAUAUUUCAUUUUUACAGUGAAUAUGCCAUUAUCGGUUUUGAUUCCUACAAGAUCAACGAGGAUGGUGAAAUCAAUACCCAUUUCAUUCAGAUGCCCCCAUUUGACGCCACUGCAAACCAUAUUCGCAGUGUGUGCAUUGGAGUUUUUUGAGGGAAAAUACUUGUUGCAGAAUUCUGUCCACGCUACGUACAUCCAAGACAAUUGAUCAAUACAAAAGAGGUUAGUAAUAUCAGUAUUAUUGAACCACCAAGUAGUGCGUAUGGCAUAAAGGUUUGGGAGCUUAACAACUAUAGCACUGGUGAAUGGUCCAUGAAGCAUAUGAUUUAUUUUCAUGAAUUGGUUUCACCAGACUCUCUACUCACUCUAUAUACUAUGCGAGGAUGUCCCAACUCGGAGGUUCUAUUUUUCCAUCCAAACGAUGCUGAUACUGUGUUGUUGAUGCUUCCGAAACUAGUUGCUGAAUGUAACUUGAAGGAUAAAACGAUAAAACGAGUUUGUAACUUUAGUAAACAACUUCAGAAGGUAUAUGGUGUUGCUUUCCCGUGGUGGCCGUCACCACUUCCGUCAAUUAUGUAGUACGGAGUACUAGCUACGCAUUACAACGUUGGCACACGGUUUAAGGAAGAGAAUAGAGAAGAUAUACAUUUUAUUGUUCUCUUUGGUGCCAAUGGAAGCACGCAAGUUAUUGUUUGUUUUUCUGUUUAUGUUGUUUAUGUUGAAUUCCUGAAUCAAUAUUUUAUUACUACCUACUUAUACUAGGUAGUAGUAGGUAUUAAGACGCCCUUUUAUAGCU